rnacentral:rRNA from 1 species
CAGCUAGUUGGUGAGGUAACGGCUCACCAAGGCAACGAUCAGUAUCCGGCCUGAGAGGGCGGACGGACACACUGGGACUGAGACACGGCCCAGACUCCUACGGGAGGCAGCAGUGGGGAAUUGUUCGCAAUGGGCGCAAGCCUGACGACGCAACGCCGCGUGGAGGAUGAAGAUUUUCGGAUCGUAAACUCCUGUCGAAUGGGACGAACAGAUUGCGGGUUAACAGCCCGCGGUCCUGACGGUACCGUUAAAGGAAACCCCGGCUAACUCCGUGCCAGCAGCCGCGGUAAUACGGGGGGGUAAGCGUUGUUCGGAAUUACUGGGCGUAAAGGGCUCGUAGGCGGCCAACUAAGUCAUACGUGAAAUCCCUCAGCUUAACUGGGGAACUGCGUGUGAUACUGGAUGGCUUGGAUUUGGGAGAGGGAUGCGGAAUUCCAGGUGUAGCGGUGAAAUGCGUAGAUAUCUGGAGGAACACCGGUGGCGAAGGCGGCAUCCUGGACCAAUAUUGACGCCGAGGAG